GCGUGCUUAGUAUAGUCUGGUAGUACCUUCGGCUUCCACCCGAAUAACUGGGGUUCGAAUCCCCAAGCCCGCACCA
rnacentral:tRNA from 1 species